UGGGGAAUAUUGCACAAUGGGCGCAAGCCUGAUCCAGCCAUGCCGCGUGUGUGAAGAAGGCCUUAUGGUUGUAAAGUACUUUAAGCGAGGAGGAGGCUACUUUAGUUAAUACCUAGAGAUAGUGGACGUUACUCGCAGAAUAAGCACCGGCUAACUCUGUGCCAGCAGCCGCGGUAAUACAGAGGGUGCAAGCGUUAAUCGGAUUUACUGGGCGUAAAGCGCGCGUAGGCGGCUAAUUAAGUCAAAUGUGAAAUCCCGAGCUUAACUUGGGAAUUGCAUUCGAUACUGGUUAGCUAGAGUGUGGGAGAGGAUGGUAGAAUUCCAGGUGUAGCGGUGAAAUGCGUAGAGAUCUGGAGGAAUACCGAUGGCGAAGGCAGCCAUCUGGCCUAACACUGACGCUGAGGUGCGAAAGCAUGGGGAGCAAACAGGAUUAGAUACCCUGGUAGUCCAUGCCGUAAACGAUGUCUACUAGCCGUUGGGGCCUUUGAGGCUUUAGUGGCGCAGCUAACGCGAUAAGUAGACCGCCUGGGGAGUACGGUCGCAAGACU
rnacentral:rRNA from 1 species